CACCCGCAGCUCUAGUGGUGGUCACUUUUAUUGAGCCUAAAGCGUUCGUAGCCGGUUCUGUAAAUCUUCAGAUAAAUUCAUUCGCUCAACGGAUGAUCUUCUGAAGAGACUGUAGAACUUGGGACCGGGUGAGGUUGAAUGUACUUCCGGGGUAGGGGUAAAAUCCUGUAAUCCUGGAAGGACAACCGGUGGCGAAGGCGUUCAACUAGAACGGAUCCGACGGUGAGGAACGAGGGCUAGGGGAGCAAACCGGAUUAGAUACCCGGGUAGUCCUAGCUGUAAACACUGCCCACUUGGUGUUGCCUCUCUGUUGAAGGGGGGCAGUACCGGAGCGAAGGUGUUAAGUGGGCCGCUUGGGGAGUAUGGUCGCAAGGCUGAAACUUAAAGGAAUUGGCGGGGGAGCACCGCAACGGGAGGAGCGUGCGGUUUAAUUGGAUUCAACGCCGGAAAACUCACCGGGAGCGACCUUUGGAUGAGAGUCAACUUGAUGAGUUUACUCGAUAGAAGGAGAGGUGGUGCAUGGCCGUCGUCAGCUCGUACCGUAGGGCGUUCACUUAAGUGUGAUAACGAGCGAGACCCCCAUCUCUAAUUGCCAGUAUGUCUUUGCGGACAUGCGCACUUUAGAGGGACCGCCAGCGCUAAGCUGGAGGAAGGAGGGGUCGACGGCAGGUCAGUACGCCCCGAAUCUCCCGGGCUACACGCGCGCUACAAAGGACAGGACAAUGAGUUGCAACCUCGAAAGGGGGAGCUAACCUCGAAACCUGUUCAUAGUUAGGAUUGAGGGCUGUAACUCGCCCUCAUGAAUGUGGAUUCCGUAGUAAUCGCGGGUCAACAGCCCGCGGUGAAUAUGCCCCUGCUCCUUGCACACACCGCCCGUCAAACCAUCCGAGCUGGUGUUGGAUGAGGGUAUGCCCGAGAGGACAAACUCGAAUCUGAUGUCAGUGAGGAGGGUU
rnacentral:rRNA from 1 species